AACAACAACAACCCGGAAGUAAGCUCCCAACCUAAACACCGUGUAUCGUCUCGUUUUGUGGCUGAAAGUGCCUCCUCACCUGGCCAACUCGACAAUGGGCCCGGGGGGCGUUGUUGACAUUGCCACGUCAAUCAAACCUGCAGUAAAGCUGUCUACUGGACUCGGCAGAGGAAGGCCCAGGUCGCUGGCAACCCUGGAGAGUGAACACAUGACUUAAAUGGCUCGUCUUUACUACGCACAGGAAUGUAGUCUCGAGG